rnacentral:rRNA from 1 species
UGCGGGGGGAGCAAGCGUUGUUCGGAUUUACUGGGCGUAAAGGGCGCGUAGGCGGUCAGCACAAGUCAGUUGUGAAAUCUCCGGGCUUAACUCGGAAAGGUCAACUGAUACUGUGCGACUAGAGUGCGGAAGGGGCAACUGGAAUUCUCGGUGUAGCGGUGAAAUGCGUAGAUAUCGAGAGGAACACCGGUGGCGAAGGCGGCAUCCUGGACCAAUACUGACACUGAGGAGCGAAAGCCAGGGGAGCAAACGGG